GUCUUUAUUUCAUAAUAAAUUGACGAGGUUUUCAGCGAAAAUCUUUGACAGCCUUGCAAACCUAAAGAGAUUGCAACUACAGAGCAAUCAAUUAACAAUCCUUCCUCCCAGUGCUUUGGAAAAGCUGGUUAAUCUUAUUUUACUCGAUAUCCGUUAUAACAACCUCUCUGAUUAUCGACUCUGCGGCCUAUAUCCAAGAAGGCAUAUUAUGACCGCAAAGCUCGCUACGGGAA